GACAGAGGGGGCAAGCGUUGCUCGGAAUCACUGGGCGUAAAGGGCUUGUAGGUGGCCAACUAAGUCAGACGUGAAAUCCCUCGGCUUAACCGGGGAACUGCGUCUGAUACUGGAUGGCUUGAGUGUGGGAGAGGGAUGCGGAAUUCCAGGUGUAGCGGUGAAAUGCGUAGAUAUCUGGAGGAACACCGGUGGCGAAGGCGGCAUCCUGGACCAUUACUGACACUGAAAAGCGAAAGCCAGGGGAGCAAACGGG
rnacentral:rRNA from 1 species